rnacentral:rRNA from 1 species
GAUGAACGCUGACAGAAUGCUUAACACAUGCAAGUCAACUGUGGCGGACGGGUGAGUAACGCGUAAAGAACUUGCCUCACAGAUAGGGACAACCUUUGGAAACGAAUGCUAAUACCACAUACUACCAGAUGGACCUGCGUUGUAUUAGCUAGUUGGUGGGGUAACGGCUCACCAAGGCAACGAUACAUAGCCGACCUGAGAGGGUGAUCGGCCCCAAGGGGACUGAGAACCGGCCCUUACGCCUACGGGAGGCAGGAGUGGGGAAGAUUGGACAAAGGACCAAAGGCUGAUCAAGCAAUUCGGUUUGCACGAUGAAGUUUUCGGAAUGUAAAGUGAUUUCAGUUGGGAAGCGGUACCAACAGAAGAAGUGACGGCUAAAUACGUGCCAGCAGCCGCGGUAAUUC